GGCGGGCAACAGCUUCAGGCCGGAGCACAGGGCGCUGCUGAACCCUUUCACCGCAACUUUCGAGCUAAGUGACGCUGGUGGCUUUGAGGUGUGGAAUGCCAUGACUCGAGGCCAGCACUGUGACACGUGGUCUUAUGUGCUGAUACCAGCAGCCCAGCCCGGGCAGUUCACUGUGGACCAUGGUGUGGGCAGGAGCUGGUUGCUGCCUCCCGGGACGCUGGACCAGUUCAUCUGCCUGGGCAGAGCUCAGGGCCUCUCGGAUGACAACAUUGUCUUCCCAGAUGUGACCGGUAACAUAGCUCACCUGCAGGCAUGCUGGGCAGUAGGCACGGGGCCCGCAGGAAUGAGUUUGGUUGACCCUAGAGGAGCUGGACCCAGUGUCUGCCCAGGGAGCUCAGCCCCAGCCUGCACUCAGGUGUCUCCAGGCUCCUGGGUCCCUGCGCUCAACC
rnacentral:sRNA from 1 species